GCUCAGUUGGUAAAUCAUGAGGCUCUUAACCUUGUGGUUGUGGGUUUGAGUCCCACAGUGGGUG
rnacentral:tRNA from 1 species